rnacentral:rRNA from 1 species
CGCGCAGGCGGUUUGAAUAGUCAGAUGUGAAAGCCCACGGCUUAACCGUGGAAGUGCAUUUGAAACUGUCAGACUUGAGUACCAGAGGGGAAAGUGGAAUUCCCGGUGUAGAGGUGAAAUUCGUAGAUAUCGGGAGGAAUACCGGUGGCAAAGGCGACUUUCUGGCUGGAUACUGACGCUGAGGCGCGAAAGCGUGGGGAGCAAACA